UACGGAGGGUGCGAGCGUUAAUCGGAAUUACUGGGCGUAAAGCGUGCGCAGGCGGCUUUGCAAGACAGAUGUGAAAUCCCCGGGCUCAACCUGGGAACUGCAUUUGUGACUGCAAGGCUGGAGUACGGUAGAGGGGGAUGGAAUUCCGCGUGUAGCAGUGAAAUGCGUAGAUAUGCGGAGGAACACCGAUGGCGAAGGCAAUCCCCUGGACCUGUACUGACGCUCAUGCACGAAAGCGUGGGGAGCAAACAGG
rnacentral:rRNA from 1 species